GACAGCUUGGGCCCAUCGCAGACCGGAGGUGAAUCAUCUUCGGGGCUCCAUUCUUUUUCAUGUCUGGACGGGGCUAAAACUCUGUUGACAACACAGGCACAAGUCACAACUUGUUAUACCACGUGACACCUUCCGAGCAGCGGAGGCUUCCCUCUACUCUAGGAGUCACACAAAAGGCCAAAGGUGCACGAUUCUCCUCGGGGCUCCUUCCUCUCCGCUCCCUUCCCAACCAAGAAGGACACGCAGAACUUUGCUGGAGAGAUCAAUGUUUCUAGAACACCCUGAAACAAAAGUCCUGAUAUGUGCAAAUAAUACACACCCACAAAAGAAAAUAACCUCUUUGCGCUGACACCCUGCCUCUCCGAAGAGGACGUUUUCUCCCUACUUGGAAUUUCCAUCAGCACCUGGGUUGGUACCAAACUCAGGACGUGGUGGACACGCUCUCUGACUCUGUAUUUCAGGAAGCUGCCAAUCAAUAGAGAUUUAAAGCUUCUGACUUCCGCAUAUCCGAAUACCAGGUAGGAAACAUCUGCUUUGGAGUAAGAGAAGGCCCCAGUACCUGCUUUUUCUCCGGAACCGUGAGAGGGAGCCAUGGGGAGGAGACCAGAAUUUCAGCCUUCCUAUCUCCCUUUACCACAAGGACGCCUUGAGGACCCAAGUCAAAUUGAGAUCUUUCAACCACGGGCUCGGAAACCCGCUUUCUGUGUCCACUUCAACCAAACACGUCUAACAGGCAGGAAUUUAGAGGUGGCCAAGGUAACGAGAACUAGUGGUUUUCACCCUGUUUGGUGACCUUCAUAGGGCUUAUUUAUGCACUUCAAGCGCAUGACCUAAUACAUGUUGGUUUGGCUUCUCUUCUCGUAAUAGCAGCCUGUAAAAAGCUUUUGAGAAUUCCCCGUGUUUUCUCAUUUUGGGUCAAGAAAAUAAAAUCGAUAUCUAAGUAACCUUAAAAAAAUGGCCUGCACAAUCUAAAAAUUUGGAAUGUUUCCACUAGGACUAAGGAUAUCUCUGAAAGCCUCAAAGAUCAUCAAAAUGAAGUCCAACAUUUGCUGUUUUUAAGGUGAGAUAUUUGGUAACGGAGUAUGAGAGAACUGGCUAAGGGGGCUUUUUGACAUAAGUCAAACAAUGACAUUUAAAACUCACGUAAAAGCAAUUACUGUGUGGAAUUUUUCUGUGUUUUUCUCAUUUCUUAAACAGAAGUGUAUAUGUUUUCAGCAUAGCUUCUUGCUGUAAUUUUCUUUCUUGACAAACCCACAUCUUACCAUGAAACCCAAAGUAUGCAUGCUGCAGAAACAAUAAUGGUUGAAACAGACCCGGCUGUCUCUGGCAUGAUUUUUCUUUACAAAAUUAAAAUGUCUUUUGGCUAAUA
rnacentral:lncRNA from 1 species